rnacentral:rRNA from 1 species
CAGGAUGAACGCUAGCGGAGGCCUAACACAUGCAAGCCGAGCGGUAUUGUUCUUCGGAAAUGAGAGAGCGGCGUACGGGUGCGGAACACGUGUGCAACCUGCCUUUAUCUGGGGGAUAGCCUUUCGAAAGGAAGAUUAAUACUCCAUAAUAUAUUGAACGGCAUCGUUUAAUAUUGAAAGCUCCGGCGGAUAGAGAUGGGCACGCGCAAGAUUAGCUAGUUGGUGAGGUAACGGCUCACCAAGGCAAUGAUCUUUAGGGGCCUGAGAGGGUGAUCCCCCACACUGGUACUGAGACACGGACCAGACUCCUACGGGAGGCAGCAGUGAGGAAUAUUGGUCAAUGGGUGCAAGCCUGAACCAGCCAUCCCGCGUGAAGGACGACUGCCCUAUGGGUUGUAAACUUCUUUUGUAUAGGGAUAAACCUACUCUCGUGAGGGUAGCUGAAGGUACUAUACGAAUAAGCACCGGCUAACUCCGUG